rnacentral:rRNA from 1 species
UACGUAGGGUGCAAGCGUUGUCCGGAAUUAUUGGGCGUAAAGAGCGUGUAGGCGGCCCGAUUAGUCCGCUGUGAAAGUCCAGGGCUCAACCCUGGAAUGCCGGUGGAUACUGUCGGGCUAGAGUCCGGAAGGGGCGAGUGGAAUUCCUGGUGUAGCGGUGAAAUGCGCAGAUAUCAGGAGGAACACCGGUGGCGAAGGCGGGUCUCUGGGCCGAAACUGACGCUGAGGAGCGAAAGCGUGGGGAGCGAACCGG